GGGUGAGUAACGCGUAUCCAACCUUCCGUACACUCAGGGAUAGCCUUUCGAAAGAAAGAUUAAUACCUGAUGGUAUCUUAAGCACACAUGUAAUUAAGAUUAAAGAUUUAUCGGUGUACGAUGGGGAUGCGUUCCAUUAGGUAGUAGGCGGGGUAACGGCCCACCUAGCCUACGAUGGAUAGGGGUUCUGAGAGGAAGGUCCCCCACAUUGGAACUGAGACACGGUCCAAACUCCUACGGGAGGCAGCAGUGAGGAAUAUUGGUCAAUGGACGAGAGUCUGAACCAGCCAAGUAGCGUGAAGGAUGAAGGUCCUACGGAUUGUAAACUUCUUUUAUAAGGGAAUAAACCCUCCCACGUGUGGGAGCUUGUAUGUACCUUAUGAAUAAGCAUCGGCUAACUCCGUGCCAGCAGCCGCGGUAAUACGGAGGAUGCGAGCGUUAUCCGGAUUUAUUGGGUUUAAAGGGAGC
rnacentral:rRNA from 1 species